rnacentral:rRNA from 1 species
UGAGUUUGAUCCUGGCUCAGAUUGAACGCUGGCGGCAUGCCUUACACAUGCAAGUCGAACGGCAGCACGGGUGCUUGCACCUGGUGGCGAGUGGCGAACGGGUGAGUAAUACGUCGGAACAUGUCCUGUAGUGGGGGAUAGCCCGGCGAAAGCCGGAUUAAUACCGCAUACGAUCUACGGAUGAAAGCGGGGGACCUUCGGGCCUCUCGCUAUAGGGUUGGCCGAUGGCUGAUUAGCUAGUUGGUGGGGUAAAGGCCUACCAAGGCGACGAUCAGUAGCUGGUCUGAGAGGACGACCAGCCACACUGGGACUGAGACACGGCCCAGACUCCUACGGGAGGCAGCAGUGGGGAAUUUUGGACAAUGGGCGAAAGCCUGAUCCAGCAAUGCCGCGUGUGUGAAGAAGGCCUUCGGCUUGUAAAGCACUUUUGUCCGGAAAGAAAUCCUUGGCUCUAAUACAGUCGGGGGAUGACGGUACCGGAAGAAUAAGCACCGGCUAACUACGUGCCAGCAGCCGCGGUAAUACGUAGGGUGCGAGCGUUAAUCGGAAUUACUGGGCGUAAAGCGUGCGCAGGCGGUUUGCUAAGACCGAUGUGAAAUUCCCCGGGCUCAAACUGGGAACUGCAUUGGUGACUGGCAAGCUAGAGUAUGGCAGAGGGGGGUAGAAUUCCACGUUUAGCAGUGAAAUGGGUAGAGAUGUGGAGGAAUACCGAUGGCGAAAGGCAGCCCCCUGGGCCAAUACUGACGCUCAUGCACGAAAGCGUGGGGAGCAAGCAGGAUUAGAUACCCGGGUAGUCCACGCCCUAAACGAUGUCAACUAGUUGUUGGGGAUUCAUUUCCCUUAGUAACGUAGCUAACGCGUGAAGUUGACCGCCUGGGGAGUACGGUCGCAAGAUUAAAACUCAAAGGAAUUGACGGGGACCCGCACAAGCGGUGGAUGAUGUGGAUUAAUUCGAUGCAACGCGAAAAACCUUACCUACCCUUGACAUGGUCGGAAUCCUGCUGAGAGGCGGGAGUGCUCGAAAGAGAACCGGCGCACAGGUGCUGCAUGGCUGUCGUCAGCUCGUGUCGUGAGAUGUUGGGUUAAGUCCCGCAACGAGCGCAACCCUUGUCCUUAGUUGCUACGCAAGAGCACUCUAAGGAGACUGCCGGUGACAAACAGGAGGAAGGUGGGGAUGACGUCAAGUCCUCAUGGCCCUUAUGGGUAGGGCUUCACACGUCAUACAAUGGUCGGAACAGAGGGUUGCCAACCCGCGAGGGGGAGCUAAUCCCAGAAAACCGAUCGUAGUCCGGAUUGCACUCUGCAACUCGAGUGCAUGAAGCUGGAAUCGCUAGUAAUCGCGGAUCAGCAUGCCGCGGUGAAUACGUUCCCGGGUCUUGUACACACCGCCCGUCACACCAUGGGAGUGGGUUUUACCAGAAGUUGCUAGUCUAACCGCAAGGAGGACGGUCACCUUUGAAGGAUUCAUGACUGGGGUGAAGUCGUAACAAG